CCUCGGAGAGUUUGAUCCUGGCUCAGGACGAACGCUGGCGGCGUGCCUAAUACAUGCAAGUCGAGCGGACAGAAGGGAGCUUGCUCCC
rnacentral:rRNA from 1 species